AGCGAACGCUGGCGGCGUGCUUAACACAUGCAAGUCGAACGAGAACGGAUUAUAGCUUGCUAUAAUUGUCAGCUAAGUGGCGCACGGGUGAGUAAUGUAUAGGUAAUAUGCCUCUUACUAAGGGAUAACAAAUGGAAACGUUUGCUAAUACCUUAUACUCCUUAUUAACAUAAGUUAAUAAGGGAAAGAUUUAUUGGUAAGAGAUUAGCCUGUAUUGUAUCAGUUAGUUGGUGGGGUAAUGGCUUACCAAGACUAUGACACAUAACUGGUUUGAGAGGAUGAUCAGUCACACUGGAACUGAGACACGGUCCAGACUCCUACGGGAGGCAGCAGUGGGGAAUAUUGCACAAUGGAUGGAAGUCUGAUGCAGCAACGCCGCGUGGAGGAUGACACAUUUCGGUGCGUAAACUCCUUUUAUAUGAGAAGAUAAUGACGGUAUUAUAUGAAUAAGCACCGGCUAACUCCGUGCCAGCCGCCGCCGUAA
rnacentral:rRNA from 1 species